rnacentral:ncRNA from 6 species
AACUGGCCCACAAAGUCCCGCUUU